rnacentral:rRNA from 1 species
CGCGGUAAUACCGACUCCAAGAGUGUGUAUGAGAGAUGCUGCAGUUAAAAAGUCCGUAGUCAUAGAAGGGCAAAGAGAGAUGCGAGGUCUCACAGUGCGAUGAUGGAGGAGCCGAUGGGGAACAUAGUAUACCAGGGCGAGAGAUGAAAUGCCAAGACCCCUGGUGGACUGAGCGAGGCGAAGGCGAUGUUCUUGUAGGCAUUCGGUGAUCAAGGACGAAGGCUGGAGUAUCGAAAGUGAUUAGAUACCGCAGUAGUUCCAGCAGUAAAAGAUGCCGACAUGCUCAUUGGACACAGUGGGCAGGGAGAAAUCUUAGAGUUCGGGCUCUGGGGAUAGUAUGCUCGCAAGGGUGAAAAUUAAAGAAAUUGACGGAGCUACACCACAAGGAGUGGAUUGUGCGGCUUAAUUUGACUCAACGCGAGGAAACUUACCAGGGCCAAGUAUUGUGUAGAAACGAGCAAUACAGGAGUGGUGCAUGGUCGUUGGAAAUUGAUGGGAUGACUUUGACCUUAAAUGGUUGAAUGAGUGAGAUCUUUUGGACAUGUUCCGCACGGAACAGGAAGGAAAAGGCUAUAACAGAUCCGAGAUGCCCUCAGAUGCCCUGGGCUGCACGCGCAAUACAAUAGCAGGUAGAGAGAGAGACAGGAAGGUGCUCAGAUGGACUAUGUGCUGUAAGGCACAUACGAAAGAGGAAUUCCUAGUAAGUGUGUAUCAACAAUGGAUAU